rnacentral:rRNA from 1 species
ACAAGCGGUGGAGUAUGUGGUUUAAUUCGAUGCAACGCGAAGAACCUUACCUGGUCUUGACAUCCCGGAGACCCUUAGGAAACUAGGGGGUGCUUCCAUCUGGAAGAAUCUGGAGACAGGUGCUGCAUGGCUGUCGUCAGCUCGUGUCGUGAGAUGUUGGGUUAAGUCCCGCAACGAGCGCAACCCUUGCCUUUAGUUGCCAGCAGUUCGGCUGGGCACUCUAAAGGGACUACCGGUGUUAAACCGGAGGAAGGUGGGGAUGACGUCAAGUCCUCAUGGCCUUUAUGACCAGGGCUACACACGUACUACAAUGGCCGAUACAAAGGGCAGCGACACUGCGAGGUGAAGCCAAUCCCGUAAAAUCGGUCUCAGUCCGGAUUGGAGUCUGCAACUCGACUCCAUGAAGUUGGAAUCGCUAGUAAUCGUGGAUCAGCAUGCCACGGUGAAUACGUUCCCGGGCCUU